UUGAUGUUUUAUAUUAUAUGAAAGUGAGUGUUACGAGUUUCUGAAUAUGAGAGGUAAAUACAAAAUUCUAGUAAGAGUAGUGAAGAUAAAAAUGAUGAAAAACAAUAAACUACGUGCGCUGAUAUAUUUCCUUUUUCCCAAGAUCUCGACCAUGGCUACCUUUUGUUGAAGAUGGCAACAUGGCGGCAAAGAUCUCGACUAUGGAGUCCACUUCGGUGAGAUUGGAGAUGGCAGCGAUCAUGUAGCAUAGAUCGACCUUGGAGGAUUUGCAACCAUGGACAACGCUAACCAGUGCCUGGGGAAGAGAAAGGUGAGAAAGGGAAGUGGAGGGGAAGAAGAGAGAAAGAGAACUUGGAUAGGGGAGGUUCUCUAAGUUUGGGGAUUGGGAUUGGCAGAAGAGGAAAGAGUGAGAUUGGGAACGAGAAUGAGAACUAAUUGGUUUCUAUUUAAAAAAAAAAAAAAACACUUCAAUAAUAGCA
rnacentral:lncRNA from 1 species